UCUGGUCUGUAACUGACGCUGAUGUGCGAAAGCGUGGGGAUCAAACAGGAUUAGAUACCUGGUAGUCACGCCGUAAACGAUGAGUGCUAAGUGUUAGGGGGUUUCCGCCCCUUAGUGCUGCAGCUAACGCAUUAAGCACUCCGCCUGGGGAGUACGAC
rnacentral:rRNA from 1 species